GUGGGGAAUUUUGGACAAUGGGCGCAAGCCUGAUCCAGCAAUGCCGCGUGUGUGAAGAAGGCCUUCGGGUUGUAAAGCACUUUUGUCCGGAAAGAAAUCUCCUGGGUUAAUACCUCGGGGGGAUGACGGUACCGGAAGAAUAAGCACCGGCUAACUACGUGCCAGCAGCCGCGGUAAUACGUAGGGUGCGAGCGUUAAUCGGAAUUACUGGGCGUAAAGCGUGCGCAGGCGGCUAUGCAAGACAGAUGUGAAAUCCCCGGGCUCAACCUGGGAACUGCAUUUGUGACUGCAUGGCUAGAGUGCGUCAGAGGGAGGUGGAAUUCCGCGUGUAGCAGUGAAAUGCGUAGAGAUGCGGAGGAACACCGAUGGCGAAGGCAGCCUCCUGGGAUGACACUGACGCUCAUGCACGAAAGCGUGGGGAGCAAACAGGAUUAGAAACCCCAGUAGUCC
rnacentral:rRNA from 1 species